AUUGAACGCUGGUGGCAGGCUUAACACAUGCAAGUCGAGCGGGGAAAGGUAGCUUGCUACCUAACCUAGCGGCGGACGGGUGAGUAAUGCUUAGGAAUCUGCCUAUUAGUGGGGGACAACAUUCCGAAAGGAAUGCUAAUACCGCAUACGCCCUACGGGGGACAGCAGGGGAUCUUCGGACCCUGCGCUAAUAGAUGAGCCUAAGUCAGAUUAGCUAGUUUGUGGGGUAAAGGCCUACUAAGGCGACGAUCUGUAGCGGGUAUGAGCGGUGGGUCCGCGACGCGGAGACUAAGACACCGCCAGACUCCUACGGGAAGCAGAAGUGGGGAAAAUUGGACAAUGUGCGAAAGCCUGACCCAGCCAUGCCGCGUGUGUUAGGUAGGCCUUAUUAGUGUAAAGCACUUUAAGCGAUGAGGAGGCUCUUUUGGUUAAUACCCAAGAUUAGUGGACGUUACUCGCAAAAUAAGCACCGGCUAACUCUGUGCCAGCAGCCGCAGUAA
rnacentral:rRNA from 1 species